UCCGAGUUGACCCCGGCAGUCUCCUAUGAGUCCCCACCAUAACGUGCUGGCAACAUAGGACGAGGGUUGCGCUCGUUGCGGGACUUAACCCAACAUCUCACGACACGAGCUGACGACAGCCAUGCACCACCUGUACACGACCCAAAAGGACCCGACAUCUCUGCCGGUGCACCCUGCAUGUCAAGCCCUGGUAAGGUUCUUCGCGUUGCGUCGAAUUAAGCCACAUGCUCCGCCGCUUGUGCGGGUCCCCGUCAAUUCCUUUGAGUUUUAAUCUUGCGACCGUACUCCCCAGGCGGUCAACUUCACGCGUUAGCUACGUUACCAAAUCCUUAAUUAGAUCCGACAACUAGUUGACAUCGUUUAGGGCGUGGACUAC
rnacentral:misc_RNA from 1 species